rnacentral:rRNA from 1 species
CGAGUGGCGGACGGGUGAGUAAUGUCUGGGAAACUGCCCGAUGGAGGGGGAUAACUACUGGAAACGGUAGCUAAUACCGCAUAACGUCGCAAGACCAAAGAGGGGGACCUUCGGGCCUCUUGCCAUCGGAUGUGCCCAGAUGGGAUUAGCUAGUAGGUGGGGUAACGGCUCACCUAGGCGACGAUCCCUAGCUGGUCUGAGAGGAUGACCAGCCACACUGGAACUGAGACACGGUUCAG